rnacentral:rRNA from 1 species
CUACGGGGGGCUGCAGUGGGGAAUAUUGGACAAUGGGCGAAAGCCUGAUCCAGCAAUGCCGCGUGUGUGAAGAAGGCCUUAGGGUUGUAAAGCACUUUCAGUGGGGAGGAAGGAUUCAAUGUUAAUACCAUUGAAUAUUGACGUUACCCACAAAAGAAGCACCGGCUAACUCUGUGCCAGCAGCCGCGGUAAUACAGAGGGUGCAAGCGUUAAUCGGAAUUACUGGGCGUAAAGCGUGUGUAGGUGGUUAGGUAAGUUAGAUGUGAAAUCCCUGGGCUCAACCUGGGAAUGGCGUUUAAAACUGCUUAGCUAGAGUAUUGUAGAGGAUAGUGGAAUUUCCAGUGUAGCGGUGAAAUGCGUAGAUAUUGGAAGGAACACCAGUGGCGAAGGCGGCUAUCUGGACAAAUACUGACACUGAGACACGAAAGCGUGGGGAGCAAACAGGAUUAGAUACCCGAGUAGUC